AUUGAACGCUAGCGGGAGGCUUUACACAUGCAAGUCGAACGAGUGGCGGACGGGUGAGUAAUAUAUCGGAACGUGCCCAGUAGAGGGGGAUAAAUACUGGAAAGAGUGGCUAAUACCGCAUAAACUAGGAGCUGCCGAGAUGGGAUUAGCUAUUUGGUGGGGUAAAGGCUCACCAAGGCGACGAUCCGUAGCUGGUUUGAGAGGACGACCAGCCACACUGGGACUGAGACACGGCCCAGACUCCUACGGGAGGCAGCAGUGGGGAAUUUUGGACAAUGGGGGCAACCCUGAUGCAGCCAUGCCGCGUGUAUGAGAAGGCCUUCGGGUUGUAAAGUACUUUUAGCAGGGAAGCGGUAUUUGCAGAAUAAGCACCGGCUAACUACGUGCCAGCAGCCGCGGUAAUUC
rnacentral:rRNA from 1 species